CAACUCUCCUCUACACAGUAUCUGCCAAUCACUAACAGCUAGGUUUCUGCCAUCUGUUUAAUAUAUGACACUUUUUUGGAUGUAAUUACCGUGAAUGUUUGUUUUUAAAGCACAGCCCAGCUGAAUUUGGUCCAUUCAGACUCGAGACACUAACAGAGAGCCAAUUGAAGACCCACGUGUGGCAACUCGAGCAAUGGUUUUAUGCUGACGUCCACAGUGUGUUUUUCGCAAAAACAGCGCUAGAGGGCGCCAAGGUGGAACAGAAUGAAAACAUCCCUCUCCCCUGUUCCCUCCCGUCUCUGCUGUGACUAAGAGCAUCCAACAGCAAAGAAUCUCUGGAGGAUCCUGGUGUUCAGUAAGAAGCAGGACACUGACGUUCAAGUAUCUGGAGUUUCUCAGCUUUAAGCACACCAGCUCCCUCAGAUUAUUUAGUUUCAUGAAGACCUUCCACUGUGUUUUAAGACACUCUUGCAGCUCUUGGCACCACUGCCUGGUGACAACAUGGUCUGCAUCCCUUCAGCAUUGAAGAGGCGUCAUUGAAACAGAAAUGGAAAAAUUUAAAAGACUAUAUAUUCAGGAAGAAGAAGGGGAAGAAUGGCUCACAGACUACAGGCUGUAAAGGGGACACACUUUAACAGGAACAAAUAAUAA